UACGUAGGGUGCAAGCGUUGUCCGGAUUUAUUGGGCGUAAAGAGCUCGUAGGCGGUCUGUCGCGUCGGAUGUGAAAACCCAGGGCUCAACCCUGGGCCUGCAUUCGAUACGGGCAGACUAGAGUAUGGCAGGGGAGACUGGAAUUCCUGGUGUAGCGGUGAAAUGCGCAGAUAUCAGGAGGAACACCAGUGGCGAAGGCGGGUCUCUGGGCCAAAACUGACGCUGAGGAGCGAAAGCGUGGGGAGCGAACAGG
rnacentral:rRNA from 1 species